rnacentral:rRNA from 1 species
UACGUAGGGGGCAAGCGUUGUCCGGAUUUAUUGGGCGUAAAGAGCGUGUAGGCGGCCAGACAGGUCCGUUGUGAAAACUGGAGGCUCAACCUCCAGACGUCGAUGGAAACCGUCUGGCUAGAGUCCGGAAGAGGAGAGUGGAAUUCCUGGUGUAGCGGUGAAAUGCGCAGAUAUCAGGAAGAACACCCGUGGCGAAAGCGGCUCUCUGGGACGGUACUGACGCUGAGACGCGAAAGCGUGGGGAGCGAAACAGG